UACGAAGGGGGCUAGCGUUGUUCGGAAUUACUGGGCGUAAAUCGCGUGUAGGCGGGUCUUUAAGUCAGGGGUGAAAUGCCAAGGCUCAACCUUGGAACUGCCUUUGAUACUGGAGACCUUGAGUCCGGGAGAGGUGAGUGGAAUUGCGAGUGUAGAGGUGAAAUUCGUAGAUAUUCGCAAGAACACCAGUGGCGAAGGCGGCUCACUGGCCCGAUACUGACGCUGAGGCACGAAAGCGUGGGGAGCAAACAGG
rnacentral:rRNA from 1 species